rnacentral:misc_RNA from 1 species
GUCUUUCGAUUCUCUUCUCGCGAGCCGACCGAUCGGUGACGAUAGGAGGGCGCAGCGGGGCGAGCAGCGCGCCCGCCGGCAUCCCCCGCAUCCGAAAGCACGCUGAGGCGCCGAGGUCCGUGUGCCCUCCCCACCCAGCGGGGGGCAACGACGCACGGCAACCAUCCGAAUGCCCGCCGCACAACUAUAUCCCCGAAGCCCGCCCGGGGGCUGCCGGGGCAUGGGCGGCCGGGUGCAGAACUCAAUCCACUGGUGCCAGUACCCCGAAACCUGCACAGGGUAGGAAGCACAGGCAACGCAUACUCAGACCGCGAGGGGGGAGCUUGAGCCCGGACCUCCGGCCAACAAUGGAAAGGCGAAGUCCCGUGACGGUUGGCUGCAGGAA